rnacentral:tRNA from 1 species
GACCCCUGGUUUAAUGGUAGAGCACCUGCUUGGCAUGCAGAAGCUCCUAGGUUCAAUCCUUGGCAUUUCCG